UACGAAGGGGGCUAGCGUUGCUCGGAAUGACUGGGCGUAAAGGGCGCGUAGGCGGGUUGUCAAGUCAGGGGUGAAAGCCUCCAGCUCAACUGGAGAAGUGCCUUUGAUACUGAUGAUCUCGAGGGAGGUAGGGGCAUGUGGAACUUCCGGUGGAGCGGUGAAAUGCGUAGAUAUCGGAAGGAACGCCGGUGGCGAAAGCGACGUGCUGGACCUCUUCUGACGCUGAGGCGCGAAAGCUAGGGGAGCAAACGGG
rnacentral:rRNA from 1 species